rnacentral:rRNA from 1 species
UACGUAGGGUGCAAGCGUUGUCCGGAAUUAUUGGGCGCAAAGAGCUCGUAGGCGGUUCGUCGCGUCGGCUGUGAAAACCCGGAGCUCAACUCCGGGCCUGCAGUCGAUACGGGCGGACUUGAGUGUUGCAGGGGAGACUGGAAUUCCUGGUGUAGCGGUGAAAUGCGUAGAUAUCCGGAGGAACACCGGUGGCGAAGGCGGCUUCCUGGACCGACACUGACGCUGAGGCGCGAAAGCGAGGGGAGCAAACGGG